GACGAACGCUGGCGGCGUGCUUAACACAUGCAAGUCGAACGGAAAGGCCCUGCUUUUGUGGGGUGCUCGAGUGGCGAACGGGUGAGUAACACGUGUGUAACAUGCCCUUGACUUUGGGAUAACUUCAGGAAACUGGGGCUAAUACCGGAUAGGAGCUACUGCUGCAUGGUGGGGGAUGGUAAGUUUCGGCGGUUGGGGAUGGACUCGCGGCUUAUCAGCUUGUUGGUGGGGUAGUGGCUUACCAAGGCUUUGACGGGUAGCCGGCCUGAGAGGGUGACCGGCCACAUUGGGACUGAGAGACGGCCCAGACUCCUACGGGAGGCAGAAGUGGGGAAUAUUGCACAAUGGGCGGAAGCCUGAUGCAGCAACGCCGCGUGCGGGAUGACGGCCUUCGGGUUGUAAACCGCUUUCGCCUGUGACGAAGCGUGAGUGACGGUAAUGGGUAAAGAAGCACCGGCUAACUACGUG
rnacentral:rRNA from 1 species